CGCCUCCAUAGGCGCUAGUCUAACACAAGACCUCUAACUUCGACCUAGAAAAUCACGAAAGAA
rnacentral:tRNA from 1 species